rnacentral:rRNA from 1 species
CCUACGGGUGGCAGCAGUGGGGAAUAUUGGGCAAUGGAGGCAACUCUGACCCAGCAACGCCGCGUGAAUGAUGAAGGUUUUCGGAUUGUAAAGUUCUGUGCUGGGGGAUGAACACAGUGACGGUACCCCAAUAGCAAGCCACGGCUAACUACGUGCCAGCAGCCGCGGUAAUACGUAGGUGGCAAGCGUUAUCCGGACUGACUGGGCGUAAAGGGUGCGUAGGUGGUUAAGCAAGUCGGCUGUGUAAUUCCGGGGCUCAACCUAGGCGCUGCCUCCUAAACUAUUAGACUUGAGUGCAGGAGGGGCAAGUGGAAGUCCGAGUGUAGCGGUGGAAUGCGUAGAGAUUAGGAGGAACAACAGGGGCGAAGGCGACUUACUGGACUGUAACUGACACUGAGGCACGAAAGCGUGGGGAGCAAACAGGAUUAGAUACCCCGGUAGUC